rnacentral:tRNA from 1 species
UGCCGAGAUGGUGAAAUUGGUAGACACACUAGCAUGAGGUGCUAGCGCCUUAGGUGUGAGGGUUCGAGUCCGUUGGUUCAAAUCCGGCCCCCGCAACCA